UACGGAGGGUGCAAGCGUUAUCCGGAUUCACUGGGUUUAAAGGGUGCGUAGGUGGAUUGGUAAGUCAGUGGUGAAAUCUCCGGGCUUAACUCGGAAACUGCCAUUGAUACUAUCAGUCUUGAAUACCGUGGAGGCCAGUAGAAUAUGUCAUGUAGCGGUGAAAUGCUUAGAUAUGACAUAGAAUACCAAUUGCGAAGGCAGCUCACUACCCGAAUAUUGACUCUGAGGCACGAAAGCGUGGGGAUCAAACAGG
rnacentral:rRNA from 1 species